CUCGCCGCGCGCCAGCUCCACCGACGAGUCCUUCCAAUCGGCACCAUCGAGCCGGCCGAACCGUCUAUGCUUGUUUUCUUCCAUCCAAUCAAAUUUGGUAUCACAUUCACUUUUGGCAAUCUGCUUGCUCUUGGGAGAUACACUGCUCAAGAGGUGGAAAUAAGCUCAUCCAGGAUCUGACCAGCAAUCUCUUCUUCUAGAGUCAAAAAGGUUAGUCCCAAUUCUAUCUUUUUCUUCUGGGGUUUCAAACAAACAUAUCUAUGCUGUGUAUUCAUGUUCCUUGAUGUUUGGUGAUUGAAAGCUAUCUUAAAUGGUGAACUAAGUAUGAAGUCCACACCACAUGUCUCACCUGCAUUUGUUUAUAUUGCAUUUAUUAGUAGAUGGCAAGUUCAUCAAAAGAAAAGGCAUUUUAGAGCCCUGAAGAUGUUGAAACAUUUUGUAAGUUAUGCGUUGAACAAAUUGACAAUGGCAAUCGUCCUGCAAACAACAAAAGGGAUGGAUGGACGGUUAUAAUUAAGAAG